CCCUUAGAUGUCCUGGGCCGCACGCGUGCUGCACUGACGCCUACAGCGAGUACUUCCCAGCCCCGAGAGGUGGCUGGUAAUCAGCAAUAGGCGUCGUGAUGGGGAUAGAUCUUUGGAAUUAUGGAUCUUGAACGAGGAAUGCCUAGUAAGCGCAGGUCAUUAGCCUGCGCUGAUUAAGUCCCUGCCCUUUGUACACACCGCCCGUCGCUCCUACCGAUUUCGAGUGGUCCGGUGAAUCUUUCGGACUGCGCGCGGCCUCGUGCCGUGUCGCGGAAAGUCAGGUAAACCUUAUCACUUAGAGGAAGGAGAAGUCGUAACA
rnacentral:rRNA from 1 species